UACGUAGGGGGCUAGCGUUGUCCGGAUUUAUUGGGCGUAAAGAGCGUGUAGGCGGCCAGGUAGGUCUGGUGUGAAAACUCGAGGCUUAACCUCGAGAUGUCAUCGGAAACCAUCUGGCUAGAGUCCGGAAGAGGAGAGUGGAAUUCCUGGUGUAGCGGUGAAAUGCGCAGAUAUCAGGAAGAACACCCGUGGCGAAGGCGGCUCUCUGGGACGGUACUGACGCUGAGACGCGAAAGCGUGGGGAGCGUACAGG
rnacentral:rRNA from 1 species